GAUGAACGCUGGCGGCGUGCCUAAUACAUGCAAGUCGAGCGAACGGACGAGAAGCUUGCUUCUCUGAUGUUAGCGGCGGACGGGUGAGUAACACGGGGAUAACCUACCUAUAAGACUGGGAUAACUUCGGGAAACCGGAGCUAAUACCGGAUAAUAUUUUGAACCGCAUGGUUCAAAAGUGAAAGACGGUCUUGCUGUCACUUAUAGAUGGAUCCGCGCUGCAUUAGCUAGUUGGUAAGGUAACGGCUUACCAAGGCAACGAUGCAUAGCCGACCUGAGAGGGUGAUCGGCCACACUGGAACUGAGACACGGUCCAGACUCCUACGGGAGGCAGCAGUAGGGAAUCUUCCGCAAUGGGCGAAAGCCUGACGGAGCAACGCCGCGUGAGUGAUGAAGGUCUUCGGAUCGUAAAACUCUGUUAUUAGGGAAGAACAUAUGUGUAAGUAACUGUGCACAUCUUGACGGUACCUAAUCAGAAAGCCACGGCUAACUACGUGCCAGCAGCCGCGGUAAUACGUAGGUGGCAAGCGUUGUCCGGAAUUAUUGGGCGUAAAGCGCGCGUAGGCGGUUUUUUAAGUCUGAUGUGAAAGCCCACGGCUCAACCGUGGAGGGUCAUUGGAAACUGGAAAACUUGAGUGCAGAAGAGGAAAGUGGAAUUCCAUGUGUAGCGGUGAAAUGCGCAGAGAUAUGGAGGAACACCAGUGGCGAAGGCGACUUUCUGGUCUGUAACUGACGCUGAUGUGCGAAAGCGUGGGGAUCAAACAGGAUUAGAUACCCUGGUAGUCCACGCCGUAAACGAUGAGUGCUAAGUGUUAGGGGGUUUCCGCCCCUUAGUGCUGCAGCUAACGCAUUAAGCACUCCGCCUGGGGAGUACGACCGCAAGGUUGAAACUCAAAGGAAUUGACGGGGACCCGCACAAGCGGUGGAGCAUGUGGUUUAAUUCGAAGCAACGCGAAGAACCUUACCAAAUCUUGACAUCCUUUGACAACUCUAGAGAUAGAGCCUUCCCCUUCGGGGGACAAAGUGACAGGUGGUGCAUGGUUGUCGUCAGCUCGUGUCGUGAGAUGUUGGGUUAAGUCCCGCAACGAGCGCAACCCUUAAGCUUAGUUGCCAUCAUUAAGUUGGGCACUCUAAGUUGACUGCCGGUGACAAACCGGAGGAAGGUGGGGAUGACGUCAAAUCAUCAUGCCCCUUAUGAUUUGGGCUACACACGUGCUACAAUGGACAAUACAAAGGGCAGCGAAACCGCGAGGUCAAGCAAAUCCCAUAAAGUUGUUCUCAGUUCGGAUUGUAGUCUGCAACUCGACUACAUGAAGCUGGAAUCGCUAGUAAUCGUAGAUCAGCAUGCUACGGUGAAUACGUUCCCGGGUCU
rnacentral:rRNA from 1 species